GAUGAAGAACGCAGCGAAAUGCGAUAAGUAAUGUGAAUUGCAGAAUUCAGUGAAUCAUCGAAUCUUUGAACGCAUCUUGCGCUCCUUGGUAUUCUGAGGAGCAUGCCGGUUUGAGUGUCAUUAAAUUCUCAACUACACUGACUUUGAAUUGGUGUGGCUUGGAUUUGGGGGGAAAAUUGUUGUGGGCUUUUUGUAUAGUCUGCUCCCCUGAAAUUGAUUAGCGGUACCUUUGUGGAACUGUCUACAGGUGUGAUAAUUAUCUACAUCUUAGACAUCUGCUGGAAUGCUGCUUUCUAAACCUUACUUGUAUUGACAAUCUUGACCUCAAAUCAGGUAGGACUACCCGCUGAACUUAAGCAUAUCAAUAAGCGGAGGA
rnacentral:misc_RNA from 1 species